rnacentral:rRNA from 1 species
GACGAACGCUGGCGGCGUGCUUAACACAUGCAAGUCGAACGGAAAGGCCCUGCUUUUGUGGGGUGCUCGAGUGGCGAACGGGUGUGUAACACGUGAGUAUCCUGCCCUUGACUUUGGGAUAUCUUCAGGAAACUGCGGCUAAUACCGGAUAGGAGCUCCUGCUGCAUGGUGGUGGUUGGAAAGUUUCGGCGGUUGUGGAUGGACUCGCGGGUUAUCAGCUUGUUGGUGGGGUAGUGGCUUACCAAGGCUUUGACGGGUAGCCGGCCUGGGAGGGGGACCAGCGACAAGGGGACUGAGAGAGGCAGCAGUAGGCAACGGGAGGCAGUAGGCGGGAAUAUGGCACAAUGAGCGGAAGUGUGAGGCAGCAAUGCCGCGAGCGGGAUGACGGCCUUCUGGUUGUAAACCGCUUUCGGUUGUGACGAAGCGGGAGUGACGGUAAUGGGUAAAGAAGCACCGGCUAACUACGUG